AGAGUUUGAUCCUGGCUCAGGAUGAACGCUAGCGGCAGGCUUAACACAUGCAAGUCGAGGGGUAUAGUUCUUCGGAACUAGAGACCGGCGCACGGGUGCGUAACGCGUAUGCAAUCUACCUUUUACAGAGGGAUAGCCCAGAGAAAUUUGGAUUAAUACCUCAUAGUAUAGUACAAUCGCAUGAUUGAACUAUUAAAGUCACAACGGUAAAAGAUGAGCAUGCGUCCCAUUAGCUAGUUGGUAAGGUAACGGCUUACCAAGGCUACGAUGGGUAGGGGUCCUGAGAGGGAGAUCCCCCACACUGGUACUGAGACACGGACCAGACUCCUACGGGAGGCAGCAGUGAGGAAUAUUGGACAAUGGGCGCAAGCCUGAUCCAGCCAUGCCGCGUGCAGGAUGACGGUCCUAUGGAUUGUAAACUGCUUUUGCACAGGAAGAAACAACGCUACGUGUAGCGUCUUGACGGUACUGUGAGAAUAAGGAUCGGCUAACUCCGUGCCAGCAGCCGCGGUAAUACGGAGGAUCCAAGCGUUAUCCGGAAUCAUUGGGUUUAAAGGGUCCGUAGGCGGUUUAGUAAGUCAGUGGUGAAAGCCCAUCGCUCAACGGUGGAACGGCCAUUGAUACUGCUAGACUUGAAUUAUUAGGAAGUAACUAGAAUAUGUAGUGUAGCGGUGAAAUGCUUAGAGAUUACAUGGAAUACCAAUUGCGAAGGCAGGUUACUACUAAUGGAUUGAC
rnacentral:rRNA from 1 species